rnacentral:rRNA from 1 species
GGAGUUCGAUUAAGCCAUGCGAGUCGUGAGUCUUAGGGACUCGGCAUACUGCUCAGUAACACGUGGAUAACCUGCCCUAUCGUCUGGAAUAACCUCGGGAAACUGAGAAUAAGGCCGGAUAGUUCACAAUGCCUGGAACGGUUUGUGAAUCAAGGUAGGAUGGGUCUGCGGCGUAUCAGGUUGUAGGGGGUGUAAAGGACCCCCUAGCCUUCGACGCGUACGGGUGUUGGGAGACAUAGCCCGGAGAUGGAUUCUGAGACACGAAUCCAGACCCUACGGGGUGCAGCAGGCGCGAAAACUUCACACUGCAGGAAACUGUGAUGAGGGAACUCCUAGUGCAUGCACUAUGUGUAUGUAGAUCCUAC